GUUUAUAAAAUAAUACUUGUAUACAAAUAAGAAUUUAAUACAUUAAAAAUAAAUUUUGAUUAUAAGGUGAAUACAUAAAUAAAGAGUUCAUCACGAAAAAAAGAUAGAAAAAAACAAAUAAAAAGAAAAGAUGAAACAUAUAUCUUUAUAAUUGGACUUAAUUGAUAAUUUAAAAUGCUGAAUGAUUUGUAUAAAUUUGUGAACAAAUGAAAUAAAAAACUUCUGAGGUAAUUCAUCUUUUCAUUAUUAGUAAAUUUUAGGUUCAAAAUAAAUCUAAGGAACCUUUUCCUUUAUAUAAAAUAGAAUAACAACCUUGAUUUUACUACUGGGGAUACAUCGUUUUAAUGCCAACUGCCAUAUAAAAAUCUCAAAUUUGGUUACUUUAAGCACUACUCCUAAACCAUACAUGUACAUGUGCUCCUAAGAAAUAUGAAGUUUCAAAAGUACAAUAUUCAAACUAUCAUAUUUCUUGCCUAUAAUUCAAAAUGCCCAAAAUGUUUGUUGUUAUCCAAUGCCUGAAAGUUAGAACCUUUUUUAUUUGACAUUUUCUGUUAAAAAAGAACAGAAGAGCACUCUUCGGCUCAAAUAUGUAACAAAGUCCUUAUUGAAGAUUAAUGAGCGAUUAUAUAUCUGACACUCUGUUAUUUUUUAGGGGAACAGAGGGUCAUAAGAUUAUUGAUACAUUAAAUCCAUAUUGUCCUCCUUGAGCAUGUUUAACUGAAUCAAAGGAUGGAACAAUCACUACAAAUUCAAAUAUUGCAUCAUGUAUAUUUCCGUAGAAAAAUGUGCACCAAUUAAUGAUUUCAAAUACAAUUCAAAAGCUUAUCAUUAAACAGUUUUUCUUAUAAAUCUAACAAUUUUACAAAUCCUUUAGUUUUGCACGUAUUACAUGAUUUUCAGAAGAAAACAAAUAGAAGAGAUAAGACACUACAAUAAAAUACAAGUCCAGAUAAGUUUUGUAGUAAACAAUUCAUCUAAACAUAAAAUGUAGGGAAGAGUAUUAAAUUUAAAGAACAUUCACUACAACUUUAAAAGGUUUUUGUCAAAUAUUAUUAAUUUACCAUGAUGCAACAUAGGAAUCUUUUCCCAGACCUACAGUAGUUCAAACAUAUCAUGCACAUGUAGGUCAAAAUUACAAACAAGUUGUAGAAUAUUUCUUGUACAAAAUAUAAGACUGGAAUGUGAUUGAUUGAUUAAUUGAUUGGUGUUUAAAAAGACUGGAGCAGUAAGGUAUCAUACUGCACCAAUAAAAAUUGCAGGUACCUGUAUUAGAAAAAUCAAUUUUUUUUAAUUAUACCAACAAUAGCAUUUCAACCAAAAUUAUUUAAAAUGUUAGAUAUAUAUAGAUACUGUGUAGAUAUGUAUAAUACAUCUAUAUACUAUUAGAUAAAAUAUAACUGUUUCAUGUUUGCUUUAAUAAAAAUACAUGGAAAAGAAAUUAUCACAUUUUGUAACACUACAUGUAUACAUAUGAAAUUUUAUGAACAAGUGUUUUGAUUAUGACACUGUAUUAUCAAGACAAGUUAUGAAAUGUCAUGUACAUUGAGUAUAACACAUGAACAUCCACUUACUAAAUUCCAUGUACAUUGUAUAUAUAGCAUGUGUACAUGUACUACAUCCUAAUAUAAAAAUCCAUGUAUUUAAGUAUGUUCCUUGAAUAUAAUGCUGUACUGUCAUAUAUAUAGAACAACAGAUAUUUAUUCUUGGCAUUUCAAAAUUUUCAUGUUCUUAAAGCAAACUCAAAAUAAUUUUCAGUUUUUAUCUGCAAAAUUGUUCAAAGAACAAAUCAUUUAAUAAAAUUAAUUUGUUUUAAAAUACCAAAAGCAAAUAUCAAUACAAAAAGUAACAAAAUGUAUUGGUAGCCUUUUAUCAAAUAAAAACUCAAAACUCAUCUAACCAAUUAAUAUAAUUAACAAAACAAUGAUAUUGGUAACUAACAAGCUCUACCACAUGAUGACCAGAAAAUGUAUUUAGUCAUUUGUGUCCUUGGUUUGCUGUAACCAACUUCAAAGAAAUUUAUAUAUACAUGUCUAUAUAUAUUAAUGUCCACAACAGGAAAAAUUUGUUCAUUAUAAUAUUCACACAAUGUAGAAAGGUUAGUUCAAAAACAACAUUAAUUUAAGUUGGUCUCAGUUGUAAAAUUGUAUGAUGCAUAUAAAUUGUACAUUGAUCAUACAUAUAUACAAAUAUAUGAAGUUGAAAUGAAAACUACAAAAAUGUAUGGCUUAAUUUAGGUAGUAUGGGUAUGAAUAAGAAUUUUUCCUACUUUGCAUUAAAAAGCUUUAAUUUGUAUUUCUGGUAUUUUAAAAAAAAAUAUGAAAAUUGUUCAUCUGCACGGACAUGACGGAUAGCUUGUUUUCAAUCUACAUAUCGUGAAAAAUUGAUACAUUUUUAUUGAUGAUAAAUGAAAAAGCAUUGUUUUUUUUAUAGAACGAACACUAAAUGACAGAGUUUUGAAAUAAAAUAUGAGAAGAAAGCUCAUAUAAAAAGAGUUUUAGAAAAUUAAAAGAAAAGCUGGGUCAUAAAUACCUUUUUCUUGCUAUAUUCUAUAACAUGUAUAAUACAAAAUAGAAACAUUAAUUGUAAAUUCCUUUAUUAAAUUAAAUUAUGAAAUAUUUCCCUCAAAAAGACUAAAUGAUUAUUUCCUUAAAUAGAUUCCUCUAAUCUAAAUUUGUUAACAAAAAACUCUUUGUCUAAAUGAAAUAACCAAUUCAUGCUAUUCAUUGUAGACCUGCCACAAAAUUGCAAUUUCAUUAAAUAUAUCAAAUUGAUUGUUUUCCCCAUCAUUUUUUAUCUUAUAAAUCUAGAUGGAGAAAAGACUACCGUACCCAUACUACCUUGAUAUUUAUAUAAAAUAAAAGAAAAAUUAUAAGCAGCACUAAAACAGCACUAUAACAAAAACAUAUCAAGCUUAUACGCUUAACAAAGAAUAAAACAAAAAACAAAAUUUAAUUUCAAAUUUAACACAAGAUUUUA
rnacentral:lncRNA from 1 species